UGACUGGAGUAUUCUGUGAGGCUGG
rnacentral:piRNA from 1 species